rnacentral:misc_RNA from 1 species
UUUCCGUAGGUGAACCUGCGGAAGGAUCAUUACUGAGUGAGGGCCCUCUGGGUCCAACCUCCCACCCGUGUUUAUUAUACCUUGUUGCUUCGGUGAGCCCGCCUCACGGCCGCCGGGGGGCAUCUGCCCCCGGGCCCGCCCCCACCGAAGACACCUAGAACUCUGUAUGAAGAUUGCAGUCUGAGCAAAAACUAAAUAAGUUAAAACUUUCAACAACGGAUCUCUUGGUUCCG